AAAUUAAAUUUCGACUACUGGUUUUUAGUGUUAGGUUAUCGAUAGUUUAAAGAAUAAUGUGGUAUUUCAAUGACUAUUGUGACAGUCACAGUCACAUCCUACAGUAUUUAAGCAGAUGCUUGAAAAAUGCACGAUCUUGUAGAGAAUUAGAAAUAAAAUUCUCUCAUAUUACGGAUUCCAUUAUAAUGAAUUUUCACACAGAAUAAAUCCUCCACUAUUGCGGAUUCCUAAGCAUCUUUUAAUUCUGUCGGCGACAAAUUGAUUAGGAAGUUUAAGUAGACUGUUAGUGCCGGGUGAUGCACUAUUUUACCUCAGCAAGAGAGUUGCUAAUUCUUGAUUGCCUUGUACGACUAAUUGUUGAGAAUGUCAACUCAGCACUUCCCCAGGAAAACAAGAAGUCAGUAAACUCGAUCUGCCGGUUACUUUGCGAAACGCACCAGUGCCGACUAUGGUUCUCGGAUCUGAUCCAUUUGAGCAACCCGACGCUAAUGGAGGAAUUGUCCGCAAAGCUGCCACCAGGGAGAAGAACUGAGUGGGCAUGGCAUGCCAGCACUCUGCAAGUUUAUCCGACUGUAACGCAUGGCUCAAUUGAAGGGUAAAUACGUAUGCAUUCUUCGACGAAGGUUCAUCCGUCUCGAUGAUCGAUGAGAGGGCUGAAGCUAACUGGAGAGCGGCGGCAGCUGAAUAAAUAUUGGUUUGGCCUUAGAUUUGCCAGUAAACCCGCAACAUUAGUUAAUCUACAAAUCAGCGGAGCGGGAAAACGCCAUCGUUACGAUUCGCAGAACGUACAAGCAGUGCGGAGCCUAAGCCUGCCGAUGCAUCGAAAAAGAUUGGCGACGAGUUGGGCCAAUAGAGAGUAGACUUCUCGUUGGAAAUGAACCCUAUGCAUCGGCCUACAAGCUGGGGUGGCUGGUCUUUGGUCCAACAAAGGAUUGCAGAGGAUUACCAUCUUACUGUGCUGCAGGAUGACACAGUAUAAAAGUUGGUAACCGAGUGGAGAAUUUUGGCGUGAAGCUCGCAUCGGCCGUUGCAACCAGCUCGAACACCAGAUCGCAAUCGAUUCUCGAAAAUAUCACUGUGAGAUUCAAACAGAGAUAAUAGAUAGUACUCUUAUGGCCUAGCGUACAGGC